rnacentral:rRNA from 1 species
UACAGAGGUCUCAAGCGUUGUUCGGAUUCAUUGGGCGUAAAGGGUGUGUAGGUGGCGCGCUAAGUCGGGUGUGAAAUUUCGGAGCUUAACUCCGAAACUGCAUUCGAUACUGGCGUGCUUGAGGACUGGAGAGGAGACUGGAAUUCAUGGUGUAGCAGUGAAAUGCGUAGAGAUCAUGAGGAAGACCAGUGGCGAAGGCGGGUCUCUGGACAGUUCCUGACGCUGAGGCACGAAGGCCAGGGGAGUAAACGGG